rnacentral:rRNA from 1 species
AUUGAACGCUGGCGGCAGGCCUAACACAUGCAAGUCGAGCGGAUGAAAGGGGCUUGCUCCUGGAUUCAGCGGCGGACGGGUGAGUAAUACGCAGGAAUCUACCUAGUAGUGGGGGAUAACGUUUCGAAAGGGGCGCUAAUACCGCAUACGUUCUGAGGAAGAAAGCAGGGGAUCGCAAGACCUUGCGCUAUUAGAUGAGCUUGCGUCCGAUUAGCUAGUUGGUGGGUAAAGGCCUACCAAGGCGACGAUCGGUAACUGGUCUGAGAGGAUGAUCAGUCACACUGGAACUGAGACACGGUCCAGACUCCUACGGGAGGCAGCAGUGGGGAAUUUUGGACAAUGGGCGCAAGCCUGAUCCAGCCAUGCCGCGUGAGUGAAGAAGGCCUGGUUGUAAG